rnacentral:rRNA from 1 species
CCGUGGAGGGUGAUAGCCCCGUCCAUCCCGAUCAGGACGCUCCGUAAACAGAAUGUUUCAGAUGAGUCGGGUAGUUUGGGAAUGCUGCUCUAAUUGGUGGUAAAUCUCAUCAAAGGCUAAAUAACGGUGGGAGACCGAUAGCGAACAAGUACCGUGAGGGAAAGAUGAAAAGCACUUUGAAAAGAGGGUGAAAAGAACCUGAAACCGUUACGGGGGAAGCGGAUUGCAUUAUUCUAGUUUUAACGUGUUCAACCUUUUAGGUGCAUUGACGUUAAAACUUAUCUGCUGUGGAUUUUUGAUAAUUGAAAAUGAAUUAUUAAAGAUUGAGGGCUCCACUUUGUGUGAGGACAGCGGAUUGACGAUGCGAUACGACCCGUCUUGAAACACGGACCAAGGAGUCUAGCGCGGGUGCGAGUCGGAAGGUGUAAAAACCUGUGGGCGAAGUGAAAGCGAGAUAAAACUCUCAGUUUGAGGCGGCAUAUUUUCGUUGAAAAUAGGUCCGACCUUGAGCAGUUGCGCUGGGACCCGAAAGAUGGUGAACUAUGCCGGAGUAGGGCAAAGCCAGAGGAAACUCUGGUGGAGGCUCGUAGCGGUGCUGACGUGCAAAUCGCUCGUCGAACUUGGGUAUAGGGGCGAAAGACUAAUCGAACCAUCUAGUAGCUGGUUC